AUGGCUGUCGUCAGCUCGUGUCGUGAGAUGUUGGGUUAAGUCCCGCAACGAGCGCAACCCUCGUUCUAUGUUGCCAGCGAGUAAUGUCGGGGACUCAUAGGAGACUGCCGGGGUCAACUCGGAGGAAGGUGGGGAUGACGUCAAGUCAUCAUGCCCCUUAUGUCCAGGGCUGCACACAUGCUACAAUGGCCGGUACAAAGGGCUGCGAUACCGCAAGGUGGAGCGAAUCCCAGAAAGCCGGUCUCAGUUCGGAUUGGGGUCUGCAACUCGACCCCAUGAAAUCGGAGUCGCUAGUAAUCGCAGAUCAGCAACGCUGCGGUGAAUACGUUCCCGGGCCUUGUACACACCGCCCGUCACGUCACGAAAGUCGGUAACACCCGAAGCCGGUGGCCCAACCCUUGUGGAGGGAGCCGUCGAAGGUGGGAUCGGCGAUUGGGACGAAGUCGUAACAAGGUAGCCGUACCGGAAGGUGCGGCUGGAUCACCUCCUUUCUGGAUUCGGAGACAUUAACCAAAGACUUGGGCUUGCCCUGGUCGGACGGUUUGUCAUCCGGCUCAGAAUCAAGCGGCCAGUCAGGCCGCAUUUGCGGGACCGCGCCGCCUUCGUCUCUCUUUCUGAUCUAAGGAUAUGGAAGCUUGCGCCUUAUUUGCCCUUAUCGGUAUGGCGGCGUGGACUUCUUCUUCGACCGGGCUUGUAGCUCAGUUGGUUAGAGCGCGCGCUUGAUAAGCGUGAGGUCGGAGGUUCAAGUCCUCCCAGGCCCACCACAGCCUUUGGGCGCCGGCGGGUCUUGAACGGGGCCAUAGCUCAGUUGGGAGAGCGCGUGCUUUGCAAGCAUGAGGUCGUCGGUUCGAUCCCGUCUGGCUCCACCAAGUCUGGACCGCGAGGUGUUGACGACGUGUCGAGCAGAUUGAAGCGUUUCCUAUCCUUUCCGAUGCGAUUUAUCAGUUUCGUUGAGCGUGCGAGCGCUUGGCGUGACGAUGGCCGAAUGGCCGGCGACAAGGAUUAUGUCCUCCGCCGUUCCUUCCGGUCCUCGAUAUCUGACAUUGUGAAGAGGAAGCGCAUUCGGUCGAAGACCGGGUGGGGCGAGGCGUAAGCUGGACGGUCCGUGAGGAUCUGAAGGCCGGAAAAGCGUCGCGUCAUCAUCGUGUCUCUCGAGCAACCAGUCGUGGAUUUGGAGCCUGACCGCUCAGAUCCCCGGAUGCGUUUGAAGCAAAACUGGUCUUUUCAAGCCAAGACGUGCGGUGUCGAACGAUUUCCGAAAUCAAGUGACACACAAGACGCGCGCUUUGGCGAUGAGAGCAAUCAAGUGUCUUAAGGGUAUCUGGUGGAUGCCUUGGCGCUGAGAGGCGAUGAAGGACGUGGUACGCUGCGAUAAGUCAUGGGGAGCCGCGAACAGGCUUUGAUCCGUGAAUUUCCGAAUGGGGAAACCCGG
rnacentral:sRNA from 1 species